rnacentral:lncRNA from 1 species
CCACUAGCUAUGGCGCAAUACCCUUGCCACGGUCCUCCGCCGCCCCGCUCGUGCUCGAACCUGUAGGGUUAGUGGUGUGAGAACUACAACGAAGUUCCCAGUGGGUUCGGCAACCGACCUCGCUGACUUACCCACUAGGUCUAUUCAGGCAUAAGUAUUUCAAAGGAAAGGAAAGUAGUAACCAUACUAAUGCUAAUACUAUGACUGCAAGAAAACUGUCAAUGGAUAUAUAAUUAAAGCAAUAUUAAAUAUGCAUGCAUGCUUUUCAUGAUUUUACUUUGGCUUUUACCCAAUCUUACCGGUUAACUUUGUUAAUCCCAAUAACUCACAACCCAAAAUCUCUUAAUAACGGGAGACUCGAACCACCCUAGGGACCGUCCUCUGGGGGGACUUUACCACGCCCAAUGGUGACCAACUCCGGAGCGCACCGCUCGAGGGGGAGCUACCUCCCUCAAGCCAAGACUUAUCGUGAGUAUCGAUCCAAUCCUCGACUUGAGGAUACACAGCCACUAGUCACAAUGCCAUUGUCAUAAUAGGUUUCUACCUAUUUGUUCAUGCUACUUUCCAAGUCAUACUUGUCACAAUGUCACUAUGGUUAAACUAUGUUUAACAACCAAUUUCUCAAUGCCAAUCAUGUCUCGAUUGUCAAUGUCACCUUUGUUUACUAUUGUCAAAGUCCAAGUCUCACAUUCAUACAACUUUAGGGUCUCUACCAUACAUGUCCAUUAUGGUUCUAUCAUUCUCUAUGUUCAACUACAUUAGAAGCAUAUAAAUCAUGUCUAACCAAGUUUCACAUGUAAAAUUACCCUAUUAUGCAUGAAUAAUUCUAUAUACAAGUAUGCUCAAUAAAGGUGAAAAUAGACAUAAAGGGGAAUCCGAUGAUUCUGGCGUGCACCCCCGACCUUGAAUAUCGUAGAAGGGUUGUAAUUCGACCCUCGUGAUUUUAGGACGCCUCUCCCGCGACCUAAACCCAAAAUAAAGCCAAAUUAGGCCCUAUAUACUAGAUCUCUUACUUAACCUUUUCGUAACGUUAAACGGAGUUGUCACAAGCGUCGGGAAUACCCCCAAUUAGGUUUCCAAGAGGUCAAUUUACCUCAGAAACAACCGGAGGCGAAAGCCCGAAUUUCCAAGCCCUAACAAUACGAUAAUGGAAUUUCUCCUAGAUUGAUCUCAUCUCUAAGCAAAAAUUAGCUUAGAAUCAAUUAGGAAGCAUUCUAAUACCAUUACUAAGCCCCUUGAACCAUUCCUAGGGCAUCUACUUUGGAUUCUAACAAUCCACCAUGAGAGCACCUUGAGAAAACCAUGCUUUCAUGGUGUUCUAAGCUCUAGAGGGUUUCUAAGCUUAUUAGAGGAUCAAAACUCCAAAACUUAAGGUUUAAAACCAAACCCUAGAGUUCUACUUGCAAGAUAACUCACCCUUGCCCAAGCUACACCAAGCUCCUUCUUGUUGGAGAGCUUCUAGCAACUUCAACUCCACCAAAACCACCUUCUCCUUGUUUCUUCUCCACCUCGUCCUUGCCCUAGAGCAAGAGUUCUAGAGAGAGAGAGAGAAAUGAGAGAAAGAGAGAAUGGAGGUCCCUGCUGUGAAGAGAGGGAAGAUGGGCUCCUAUAUAGUGUGCAACAAUUGCAAUUAAGCCCCCCAAAAGUCUUAUUUGCAAUAGACUUCAAAACUGCUGCCAGACCAAAGUGUACCGGUACACUUUGGGCUGUUACCGGUUACACGAUUACGCAGGGCAAACCCGAGAGCGUUUCCCUCGGAUUUUACCAAAGUAUACCAGUACACACCAAGGGUGUACCGGUACAUUUUCUAAGAAAAUCUCAAACCUGAGAGCUUACUCUGCGCGUGCUGCUGGGCUGUUACCGGUGACAACUUGAUGGUUGUACCGGUACACUUUGGCCAGAAUGCAAUUUUAGCUCCGAUUCGACUCUAUUUCGCGUCGGUCGAUGCUAAAACCCUCCUAACUCUUUCUAAACUUACUUUUAGCCCUUCCAACAUUGUUGGAAUGCUAAAUGCAACUCAUCCAUCCAUCAUUUUCGCAUACUUUAGUCAAUUUGGCUAAUGUUCGAUUAUUUCUUCCGGGUUUCAAUACGUUACAUUCUCCACCCCUUAAGAUUAGUUUCGUCCGCAAAACUAACUUAAUUGCAAUCUAAAACUCAUACCUCAUCUUAGUUCUUUGAAGAGAUGAGGAUGACGUUCUUUCAUCGCAUCCUCAAACUCCCAAGUUUCUUCCCGAUCGUCGUGUUCACUCCAAUGAACCUUAACAUAUGGAAUUUCACGAUUCCGUAGUUUUCGCACCUUCCGAUCAACAAUGUACUCCGAGAACUCCUCGUAAGUCAUAUCCUCUUGAAGUUCUAUCGGUAUAUACGAGAGAAUAUGCUCCGGAUCAUGGACAUACUUGCGGAGAUUGGAUACAUAAAACACAUCGUGCACCCCCGCAAGCCUCGGUGGUAAUGCUACUUUGUAAGCCACCGCACCAACCCUUUCUAAGAUCUCAAAGGGUCCGACAAAUCGGGGACUUAGCUUUCGCCGGACACCGAACUGCUUAACACCGCGCAUCAACGAUACCUUUAGAAAUAUGCGGUCUCCAACCGCGAACUCGAUAUCUUUCCUUCGCUUGUUGGCAUAGCUUUUGUGCCUCGAUUGCGCCGUCGCUAAUCUUUGUCGGGCAAGGCGAACUUUCUCCUCCGCCUCCCGAACCACAUCGGGGCCAAGGGCAACUCUCUUGCCCACAUCGCUCCAAUGAAUAUGAGAGCUAUAUUUUCUUCCAUAAAAGGCCUCAAAUGGCGCCAUUGCAAUACUUUCUUGAUAGCUAUUGUUGUAUGUGAAUUUCGCCAUCGAUAAAUGAUCAUGCCAUCCGCCCUUAUAGUCGAGUACACACGCUCGAAGCAUGUCCUCAAGUAUUUGAAUGGUCCUCUCCGAUUGGCCGUCACUUUGAGGAUGGAAUGCCGUACUAAAGUCGAGCCGUGUGCCUAACGCGUCUUGCAAGCUCUUCCAAAAAUAUGAUGUGAACCUCGGGUCCCAAUCUGAUACAAUAGAUAUCGGAACCCCGUGAAGUCUCACAAUCUCGUCGAGAUAAACCUGAGCUAGCUUGUCUCCCGACCAAGUAGUGUGGAUCAGUAAAAAGUGUGCCGAUUUCGUCGACCGGUCCACAACUACCCAAAUCGCAUCAUGUCCACCUUGGGAUCUAGGCAACCCCGUCACAAAGUCCAUAGCGAUAUUUUUCCACUUCCAAACGGGUAUAGGCAAACUUUGUAACUUUCUCGCCGAGAAUCGCCGUUCCGCCUUAACUUGUUGGCACGUGAGGCAUUGUACCACAAACUCCCAUAUGUCCUUUUUCAUGCCCGGCUACCAAUAAUGUAGCUUCAAAUCUUGAUACAUUUUAGUGCCGCUCGGGUGUAUACUAUAGGGAGCUUGAUGCACUUCUUGCAUAAUCGCCCUCCUAAGAUCGUCAUCCUUGGGCACGCACCAACGAUUCCGAUAUCGUAGCGCGCCAUCGGUCCCAAUGCCAAAAUCAUCGGCACUACCGCUCUCAACUUUAUCCCGCACUUUUUGGAGAAAUGAAUCGAAAACUUGGAGUUCUUUAAUCCUCUCCAACAAGGUCGGUUGUACAAUCAACGUGGCAAGUGUUGCCGGCACUCCCGGCGCCACAACUUCAAGUCCAAACCGUUGCAUCUCCUUUUGCAAAGCCAGUUGGGAUGUAAUUGCUGUCGCCAAAUUUUCCGCCGACUUUCUACUUAAAGCAUCGGCCACGACAUUUGCUUUUCCGGAGUGGUAGAGAAUCGUGACGUCAUAAUCUUUUAGCAACUCCAACCACCGCCGCUGUCGCAAAUUUAAUUCCUUUUGGGUGAACAAGUAUUUGAGACUCUUAUGAUCGGUGUAGAUCUCACAAUGCUCACCAUACAAAUAAUGCCUCCACAAUUUUAGUGCGAAGAUAACCGCCGCUAGCUUGAGAUCGUGAGUCGGGUAGUUUUUUUCAUAACUCUUUAAUUGAAGCGAACCAUAUGCUAUAACUCGGCCAUUUUGCAUCAAAACACACCCGAGACUGAUAUAAGAGGCAUCACUGUACACUACAUAGCUCUCCCUCGGCGUCGGCAAAGCAAGUACCGGGGUCGACGUCAAUCUUUCCUUUAACUCCUUGAAGCUCCGCUCACAUUCGGCGCUCCAAAUGUACUUCAUCCCUUUGUGGGUAAGGCGCGUUAAUGGAGUAGUUAUCUUGGCAAACCCCUCCACGAACCGCCGAUAGUAGCCCGCAAGUCCCAAAAAGCUACGAAUCUCCGAUACACUUGUCGGGCGAGGCCAAUCUUUAAUAGCCUCCACUUUCUUUGGGUCUACCAAGAUGCCAUCACCGAAUAUAACGUGACCCAAGAAAGUAACCUCCGAAAGCCAAAACUCACAUUUCUUUAAUUUUGCAUAUAGCUUCUCUUUUCGGAGCGUCUCCAACACGAUUCUCAAAUGCUCCUCGUGUUCUUCCUCGGUCUGAGAAUAUACUAAUACGUCGUCAAUGAAUACCACGAUGCACCGGUCCAAUAGCAAACGGAAGACUCGAUUCAUUAAGUCCAUAGAAGCCGCCGGGGCAUUAGUAAGCCCGAAUGGCAUGACUGUGAACUCAUAGUGGUCAUACCGCGUACGGUAUGCCGUUUUGUGCACAUCCUUGGGCCGUAUCUUCAAUUGAUGAUACCCCGAUUGAAGAUCAAUUUUAGAAUAUACUCUUGACCCUUGCAACUGAUCGAACAAAUCGUCAAUUCUAGGCAACGGGUACUUGUUCUUGAUCGUCACUUUGUUCAACUCGUGAUAAUCAAUGCAAAGUCGAAGCGUGCCAUCCUUUUUCUUUACAAAUAGCACAGGAGCUCCCCACGGAGACACUCUCGGCCGCAUAAAGCCUUUAUCGAGCAAGUCUUGCAAUUGAGCCUUUAAUUCCUUAAGUUCUACCGUUGCUAUUCUAUACGGAGCCUUCGAAAUUGGCGCCGCCCUGGGAAUUAAGUCAAUGACGAACUCGACUUCCCUGUCCAGUGGCAAUCCCGGUAACUCCGCCGGAAACACAUCCGGAUACUCGCAUACUACCCGAAUACCUUCAAGUUCCAGGUACUCCUUUUGGGCGUCUACGAUGGUCGCCAAAUAGGCCUUACAACCACCCUUAAUUAUUUUCCUCGCUCUCGCUGCCGAUACGGUCGCCGCGAAGCGCCUACUUUUACACGCCCGGUAUAUCAAUUCUUUUUGAUUAGGUUCACCGAACGUGAUCACCUUACUUUCACAAUCUAUGACCGCGUAAUACUUGGAGAGCCAAUUGAUCCCCAAGAUCACAUCGAAGCCCCAUAUUUGAUUUAACACCAAAAGGUCGAUCGGCAUAACCCAAUCACCUAUCUGUACCGGACACGCUAAGCACUCGUCAUGUACAUGAAACGAAUGCUCUGGAGUAUUCACCAACCAAUAAUCUUCAUUAUGUGUGAUCUCAAUGUCAUGAGUCUUAGCGAAUGAUGCAUCAAUGAAUGACUGAGAUGCACUCGUGUUGAAUAUAGCUCUAGCUCUAGUGCCUCUGAUAAGAAUAAUACCUGCCAUGACGUCGUCGGGGACUGGAAUCAGCUGCUCCUCUACCUGAGUGGCAAAAACCCGCCCACUAGGUGCUCGAGAAGCCUCCGGCUGAUGAGGCACUGAUAAAUGUCCAGCAGAUAUAGCGGGUGGUAGUCCCGCCAGCUGUCGUGGAGUAUACUAGACGGAAGCUGAUGACGGAGCUGGGGAUGCGCCGCCCGGGCACUCUCGGCUCAUGUGCCCCAGUUGGCCGCAUUGGAAGCAUCGCCCUCCCACUGUGGACAAGUAGCGACUCUAUGAUCUCCGCCGCAUAUCACGCACGGGUAGGUAGUCUGGCUCUGUGUCUUACUCCUACCUCCCCGCCACUGUGAUCGCUGAUAUCGAGGGGGUCGCUUAGAACUUGACUGCCCCGCGGAUACACUAGAUGCCCACUUCUUGGACUUAUCCCUUUCCUUGUCCUUCUCGAGAGCCUCGCGCUCCUCUCGCGCAAUAGCAUUACCGUCUCUACCCAAAGCACGCGGUCAAGUACCUCCUCGUAGGUCUUUAACCGAAAGGCAUGAAUAACCUUGAAAAUCCCGGGUCGCAACCCGCGCUCGAAUGCCUCCGCCCUGUCCCUAUCACCAUGAACCAAGCUCAGCACGCAAUUGACAAGGUGCGUGAACUCUCUUUCGUACUCCCGCACUGUGCGACUUCCUUGCCUCAACUUUCGAAAAUCCUCCUUGAUUUUCCGCUUGUCACUCUCGAAAAAAUACUCCAUCAAUAGCAUCUCCCGAAAUGCCUCCCAAGUAACAGAAGCGGAAUCCAACAAGUGAUUCUUUUUCGCUUGAGUCCACCACAACCGAGCCGACCAGUCGAAACAGUGAGCCGCAAGGUGAACCUUAUCCUUCUCGACGGUGUAAAUGUCCUCAAACAACGCUUCCAUCGUGGCCAACCACGACUCCACCAACCAAGGAUCCUUCAUAUCGCCGUUGAAGGUCGGAGGGUUGAAUCACUUGAAUGCCAUCAGCGCCGCCAACAAUCGCUCCUGCUCGGCCUCAAGUACAUCGAGAAUAAGGGCCGAUGAACCCGAUGCCAUUGGAGGAAUAGCCGUCACUGGUGCUACCGCCACCGCAGGAGGUGGUGCUAUAGGAGCAAUAGGUGCGGGCGGAUCCCUCGGCACAAAUGCCGCCGCCGCCGCCUGUCGCGCCAUCAACUCGUGGAGCUGUCCAAUUUGCUCCCCCUGUAGCCGCAUAGCCCCGGCCAAUGCCGCUACUUGGGCUCGCAGCUCGCGCACUUCAUCCGUUCCCGUCUGCUCGGGCACUUCAUCAGGCAAUGCCGAAGCGGCUCUACACGUGUAGCGUCUCGGGGACAUUGUUCCUGAAACGUAUCACAUGCAUUAGUACUCGAUACACGUGACUCUUACACGUUCCAAAUAAUUACCCCAUUAAGCGAAAGCAAUCAAGUGUAUUUAUUUCCAACCCUUGGCAUCAUGUGGUCGGCCAGCCCACACAAACCCCUUAAGUAGAAAACAAAUAAACACUUGAAUCCAUCUCUAAUUCCUUUUAGAGAAGUACCAUCAUUAACCCAAUCAACUAGCUUUCGCAAGUACCAAGUUCACGUUAAACGUUUCCUAAGUCCCUAAGGUCUCCAAUCCUAGGGUUCCUAAGUCCAUCCUAGACUUUUGCUUUCUUCCAUAGCUCUGAUACCAUUAUAUCUGUCACGCCCCAAUCCCUGCCAAAUUGGUCGAGCUCGGGUCACGUCAACAGACGCCGAACGGACAGCAUCUCCACUGUCCGCCCAAGGCUCUAACAACAAGUAUAAUUAAGCAAUCAAACAAAGAGAUAUGCAAUUAUACAAGGCUUGCACGAGGCAAGCAACAACGGAAGCGAAAGUUCUAAGCUAAAUAUACAACCAUAUAUGAUAUUUGAUUAUAUUUUAACCAAAUACAAAUAAACUACAACUAUUACAUUCUUUUUCCAUUCAACCAUAAUUCCUUACAUUUUGUCAUUCACCAAAAUACAUGAUAUGUUUUCAACUUUACAAUUCUAAUUCAACAAAAUAAAACUUGAUACAUGUAGGCAAAGGAAUGACUAAAAAUGUAUAAGUCCCGGUAGCCACUAGCUAUGGCGCAAUACCCUUGCCACGGUCCUCCGCCGCCCCGCUCAUGCUCGGACCUAUAGGGUUCGUGGUGUGAGAACUACAACGAAGUUUCCAGUGGGUUCGGCAACUGACCUCGCCGACUUACCCACUAGGUCUAUUCAGGCAUAAGUAUUUCAAAGGAAAGGAAAGUAGUAACCAUACUAAUGCUAAUACUAUGCCUGCAAGAAAACUGUCAAUAGAUAUAUAAUUAAAGCAAUAUUAAAUAUGCAUGCAUGCUUUUCCAUGAUUUUACUUUGGCUUUUACCCAAUCUUACUGGUUAACCUUGUUAACCCCAAUAACUCACAACCCAAAAUCCCUU